UACGAAGGGGGCGAGCGUUGUUCGGAUUUACUGGGCGUAAAGGGCGCGCAGGCGGCUCAUUUUGUCAGGCGUGAAAGCCCCGGGCUUAACCUGGGAACUGCGUUUGAUACGGAUGGGCUAGAGUUCGGGAGAGGAGAGUGGAAUUCCCAGUGUAGAGGUGAAAUUCGUAGAUAUCUGGAGGAAUACCGGUGGCGAAGGCGGCAUCCUGGACCAUUACUGACGCUUAAGCGCGAAAGCUAGGGGAGCAAACGGG
rnacentral:rRNA from 1 species